CUGCUUUUCCCAACCACUGUCCCCAUAGGAAUAGGAGGUGGAGAUGCUCCUGGGUGCUGAAUGGGAACCCCAGGCUAAAGGCCUAGAGGCACGGCUGCAGGCAUGGCUCAUUUCCACCAGUGAAGUUCAGCUGAGAAACACACUCAUCUGGAGUCCCUUCUGGAAGCGAAGUGAACAUUACCCGGUGAGGCUGCCGUCUUGGAGGGAGAGUCCUCACCCCUUACUGGAAAGUCGCUGGUAGUAACAAGAACUGCCUCCACUGUACAUCUGUCUUUUUCUGCAUGGAAGGGGAGGGCGCCUUUAGAUUACUUUAGCUAUAGAUCUCACAAUUACGUUCCCUUUCUCUAAUUUGGAUGUUAAUGUAUUAGCUGCAGCUUUGCCUUCUAGGCUAGAAAUUGUUUUUCCCCCCGCCCUGAAAUUAUACAUCCAGAUAGAGUAAGGUUCAUUAAAGUAAGAUUAGGAGAGGAUAAUAUGUGAGAGGUAUGUAAUCUUUUGCAAAUGGUUAGUAAAUUGGAACUACCCCAAUUACAAUCUUGUUCAUCACACAGGGCUGAAUUACUCUGCCUGGGACGGGAGUCUCAGCCACAGCUCUGCUCAGCUCACAUUUCAUAAAUAUUGUAUACACAUGAUAUUCUCAGCCAUCUGCUUCACUGGUCGCUGGGCACGUUUUCUGACUUUCUGGUUGACUGCAGAGAGUGACAGGGCAGGGCGGCCAUCCUGUGUGUUUACCUCAAAGCCCAGUGAGGCUGGCCUUCCCCUGGGGCUCUCCUGACACCAUAUGCCUCAGGCUCAAUGACAUGGACACACAUCAGGCUCGAUGGCAUCCUCUUUGCCCCCACUAAGGCCUUGCUGUGGCCCCCAGAGUCUUCCCAAGCAGUGACCUGGGAGGUGUGCCUUGGGCUGUCCCUGAAGGGCCCAUCUCUAGAAGGGACUUGGAGGCCGAUAGAGGUGACUUAGAGAACAUGCAUCACUCCCUGGCUCAGGGUGGCUGGAAACUGGGCGGUGCCCUGGGCUGGCUGUGAGGUCCAGCCUCUGCCUCUCAUGGGCAGGUGGUCUGAGAGCAUGGAGGGUGCGCCCUGCCUCUCACAGGUGUUCUGCUCAGCAUCAGUGGCUGGGUCCAUCUCUUCCUCCUACUCCUCGGGUCUGACUGGAGCAGCUCCCUCUGACCACUUUGUUUCCCUAAAAUCUCAUUUUCUUCCAAGAGACAAUGAAAGAUAGUGAUUAACAGUGAGGACUUUGGACUCAGAGUGUCUGGGUUUAAGUCUCACCCUGCUAUUUUUUUUUUUUUUUUUUUUGAGAUGGAGUCUUGUUCUGUCGCCCAGGCUGGAGUGCAGUGGCCGGAUCUCGGCUCACUGCAAGUUCUGCCUCCCAGGUUCAUGCCAUUCUCCUGCCUCAGCCUCCCGAGUAGCUGGGACUACAGGCGCUCGCCACCACGCCCGGCUAAUUUUUUGUAUUUUUAGUAGAGACGGGGUUUCACCGUGUUAGCCAGGAUGGUCUCGAUCUCCUGACCUCGUGAUCCACCUGCCUCGGCCUCCUGACGUGCUGGGAUUACAGGCGUGAGCCCCACCCUGCUAUUUACCAGUUGUGUGGUCCUGAGCAAAUACCUUAGCUUGUGCUUGGGUUUUCCCAUCUGUAAAAUGGGUAAUAAUAGUAUCUAUCCCAUAGGGUUGUGCUGAAUUAAUACUUACAACUGUACCUGUCAUACUGUAAAUGCUCAGUAAAGGUUUGUCGUUAUUUCAUUACAAAGGUAUCUUGGCUUUCUUCCUGCUGAUUGCAGCAUCCCCGAAAGAGAGCAUGCCAGAGAACGUGUGCUAGAUGUGACCUCUAAGCAGGAGGGAACCAGAUGAAGAGAAAGGGCUGGAUCAUUUUAAGUGUUAACCGUGUGCUCAGCACCAUGUUUAACGGAGGUUAUUUUAUCCCAUUCUCACAGUUUUUUGAAGCGUAUAUAUUAUUAUGCCCCCUGUACAGAUCAGGAAGGUAAGGCUCAAAGCUUUUUGAAAAGCAGACUUGCUGCUGCUGCCUUGUUUGAAAUUUCCAGUUUGCCAUUUGUUUUAGGAUAAAAUCCCAAAUCCUUAAUCUGGCCCAUAAAAUCCUCCAUAAUCUGAUUCUAGCCCACUUCUUGUUCACCCCUGCUCACUCUCGGCACUCCUAUCUUAUCGGCCUGUUCGUCAACAUCCUACACCCUUCCACUUCCAGGCCUUCACAGAGGCUCUUUCUUCUCCUUGAACCUGACUUCUCCUUCCCGUUUUACCUGAACAAUUCGUAUUCAUCCCUCAGGUCUCAACUUAACAGUUCUCCAGAGAAGUCUUCCUUGAACUGCCAACCUCCAACACCCCCAUCCCCACCUCCUAGAUAAGGCUUCACUCAUAUAUGCUUUCACAGUAACCCAUGCCUCCUUCA
ensembl:lncRNA